rnacentral:lncRNA from 1 species
GUCUGCUCUGGGACUUGGAACAAAAGGGGAAACUCUGAUGAACUCCUUCUCCAGCUCCCUGGACGCCCGAGUAUCUCUUUCUCGCAACUUUGUCAACGCGACUUUCUCCGCUGUCAGGCUGCGCAAAAGUAUCCUAGCGCCUCGCAGGCUGCAACAAUGGAAACAAUGUCCCUUCAAAGUGCGACGAAGUGGAGGGAGAAGGUGUCAUACCAGCGACUCCAAGAGUCAUGUCACCCACUUAGCAGGAGUACUUCUACUGAAAUGCCUUCGAAUUUCUCUUACUGGAUAUAUACCUACCAGCCGCUAGCAUGAAGAUGCCAGGACCGCUGCAAGUUAGCACUGGACAAAGUAGCAUCAACUUCUUCAUUUAGAGUUUCUUCAGUUAAAUUGCUGGGAUUUUCGACAAGGCUUUCCUUAUGUGGAUUAUUGGAGUGUGAUGCCCGAGAAUUCUCUACUUGUAGAAGCACGCCCACGGGACUGCAGAAGCCUUCACACCCACCCAGCACGCUCAGAUCAUCCAGUAACCAACCCAGGAAGUUCUUGUAAGCAUGCAUUUCUUAGUCAACACUGAAUGCCUUUAGACCGAGGUCAACCUUUUCAGCUGGUACCGUGGUUUACACUGCUGAUGGGAAUGAGUGAUGGCCAUCCAGUGACCAGCUGGAUCUGACUGCCUUACAAGACGCAUGUGUAUGAUUAAGAGAGAGACAUUCGUGACUCCCAGAUGUACCUCCUUCCUGUCCCACAGUGUUCCUGAAGGGAGUGAGUUAUGGGGUAACUUAUAACACAGCAGGCUCUUCCUCAAGAUAGCUCUUGUCAAAACAGGAAGACGAAACUCGGGUUUCCAUGAGGAGACCACAGCUUGGGAUCCUGUCUGGAUGUACAAGCAGAAGCAUCUUCAUACUUUUCCAUUUCUAACCAUCAUGCCUCACCCCACCCUCCCAAGGCGACAUCUGCAGAGAGUUUUCAGGAUGUGUUCCUGAGUCUCGUGAGUAGCACAUGGCAGUUGUUGUCACCUUGGGCUGAGCCGUGAAGAUUCUCACCCUCCCUUGUUGGGGAUGAACUCCGGGAUUCUAAGGAGAGGUCAGCAGGUGUUUCACAGACUGUUCCUGUUGGAGGAUUUGUCUGAUACUCUUCUCCUGAUUAGUCUGGGCUCUACAUUUCCCCAAGGGUGAAACUUGGAAGCCCUCUCCAGGAUGCAGCAGGUAGCUGAGGAGAAAACGAAGACUGACCAGCCCAGAGCUCAGAGCUUCCUCCCAUGCUCAGGAUUUACCACCAAUGCCAUUACAUCGGCCUCUUCUUGUAUGCCUCUGGAAACCACAUGUGUCCUCUGUUUGUAAUGGUUUGGCUAUGGUUGCUGGCCCCUCUUGGACAUUGUUUUCAGAACUUAAAGAAACAUUGCUUUAAAGAUUUAUUAGAACAUAUUUAAAAUAAAACCAUCUUCUCAUUUAGUA